AGCGAACGCUGGCGGCAGGCCUAACACAUGCAAGUCGAACGGAUCCUUCGGGAUUAGUGGCGGACGGGUGAGUAACACGUGGGAACGUGCCCUUUGGUUCGGAACAACUCAGGGGAAACUUGAGCUAAUACCGGAUGUGCCCUUCGGGGGAAAGAUUUAUCGCCAUUGGAGCGGCCCGCGUCUGAUUAGCUAGUUGGUGAGGUAAAGGCUCACCAAGGCGACGAUCAGUAGCUGGUCUGAGAGGAUGAUCAGCCACAUUGGGACUGAGACACGGCCCAAACUCCUACGGGAGGCAGCAGUGGGGAAUCUUGCGCAAUGGGCGUAAGCCUGACGCAGCCAUGCCGCGUGAAUGAUGAAGGUCUUAGGAUUGUAAAAUUCUUUCACCGGGGACGAUAAUGACGGUACCCGGAGAAGAAGCCCCGGCUAACUUCGUGCCAGCAGCCGCGGU
rnacentral:rRNA from 1 species